rnacentral:lncRNA from 1 species
GACUACCCAGGUGGCUAGCACCUACUUGGAUAAGAAUGUCCUGAGCUUCAAAUCUCUUCCCUGAUAAAAAGAGGGCUGCUGCUCUCAAGGAACUUCAGUCAAGGGGAGUGGGGGAAGACAGUCCCACACACAGACAAAAAACUAGGGGGUGAAAGGCCAAUGAGUGGUGGGAAGGAAAGGGAAAGAAGCUUCCAGAAGGCUAGGGGUAAGAAUGCAGCAGUGAACAUGGUUCCUGCACUCAUGAAGCAAAUGUAUCCACUGUGGUACAAAAGAGACUGUAAAAAACAAACCCAAAUGGACAACAGAGUUCUGAACCAUCCUGUGACAAGUCUAGUUACCCUAAAGCUGUCAUGCAGGAGAGACCAUGUGGAGAGAAGGAGAGUUAGAGAGAGGAGGAGCCCCUGCUGUUUGAGUAUUCUCAGCCCAGACACCAGACAUGAGUGAGGAAGCAUUCAGACCCCAACUCCAGUUUAAAAACGCCACCACUCAACAGCCUGUUUUCUGAGCCUAUGACCACAUAUAUGCUGCAGAACCCUUUCAGGGUGUAUCUGAAACUACUUCUCUUAAAGGCAAGCUGUAACUGGUGCCAGAAAAGACAGAAGCUGAUUGAGGUCCCAGCUUGGUAACAGUUUGAAGAGUUGCAGGACUGGCUGGAUGAGUACUGGCUGCAGCAAAUCAGGCUGCCAGGAUUCUUUAUGGCUGUUUCUGCUUCCACUACAGCUGAGUCAGAAAGGUCGCUGCCCCGUGGUGGCACUAGACGCAGUGGACCUGGCAAGCAAAUGUUUCCGCUAUUAGCUCUCAGCAACAGAGACUCAUUUAUGGUCACCUUGGAAAUCUGGGCUUAUCGAUCUACAGCCCAAGUCUGCUGAGAAGCUGGAGCUUACUAAAGGGGAAACCUGAGAGCUGUUCAAGCCCCAAAUAUUUUCCACUUCUGCGUCACCUCUGCUGUCUGUUAGCAGAGUGGAGGAGAAAAUACACAGCACAAACAACGUGAAAAAAUAGUUACUCUAUUCAUUAAAAGCUGUAACUUCCAGAUUGGACUUGAGAAGCAAUUAAGCAACAGAGGAACCUCAUCUACUAUCUGUAUUCAGGCAUGCUCAUGAGAACACGCUGCUCCAGCUGGACUUAGAGGAACCCGGUGCAUCACAGGCAUUCCUGACAGAGUCUCGUGGUCCUGCUGGUCCACUCAGUGGUACUCAGUCCUCCUCAUUCUCGGGGAUAGGUUCCAAGACCCCCAGGGGAUGCCUGAAACUGCGGAUGGUGAAAUGCCAUCACAUCCUUCAUACUCAUAUUUUUAGGACCAUAGGAGACCCAAUAUAUCUGUCUGUAUUGCAAUAAAUUACAAGGCUUUGACCAAAGACCCAGUUCCUAACUGACUGCUCUUGAAGCCAGCUCCACUGCAGAAUUAAGGAACAGAGAUGAGACUUGUCUGACAUGGGGAACUGUCACAGGAUAAUACCUUUGAAAAGCCUGGUUUUAGAACUUGCCUCUCUCAAUUUGAGGCAGUGUAUGUUUUUAAGUUUCUAAAAAUAAGAUAUUAUAAGAUUUGUAACAUUACAAUGACUGCCAAUGCAAAGAACCUCUGGGACUCUAGUGCAUCAGUGGAAUAUCAGCACAUUGAUGGACAUGUGGACUAUUUGGAUUCAGAAGACCUGGUUUGAGCUCAUCUCUGCUGCCAACUGUCUGUGUGACCUUAAGUAAAAUUAUCUCCUCUCUC